GUCCCAGUAGUGCACUGGAUAGCGCUUUGGACUUCUAAUCCAAAGGUCGAGAGUUCGAAUCUCACCUGGAAUG